UAUAAUUCAUAAAAAAUGUUAACGCCUUUGCUUUCUAACGUACUGAGACGAAUGCUUUAGACUUAAAAUUGCCAAUUAAAAACUAAAUGGAACAAAAUUGGCGUAUAAAAUCAGAGAUCGGAUAUAAACGAGGAAAGAAUUCAAACAAAGUCAGUCAGCAGUUUUUGCAGUCAACAUCUAAAUAUGAAACUAUUCGCAAUCUUGGUCACUUUGUGCAUUAUUGGCGCCGCUUUUGCCAACAAGGGAGCAGCUGACGAUGAUGUUAAAGCCAACGACGAUGCUGAUGACAAUUAAUUAAUACAAAUUAUUCAUUCUUUUGGGAUAAUAUAAAUAUUGCAAACUAUAUGAUAUAAA